rnacentral:tRNA from 1 species
AGAGUAUAGCGCAGUGGUAGAGCGCAUGCUUAUCAUGCACAAGGUCCUGGGUUCCAUCCCCAGUACCUCUG